rnacentral:lncRNA from 1 species
UUUUGGACCAGAUGCACCUCGUGAUGUAAAUUUCCACCGCGAGGUGUUGCGUUUUACAUCACGAGGAGGCCGCGGUCCAAUUUUUUUUACAUAUGGACCGUCUGCUGGAGAAGCGUUUUUUUGCCUCUGACGGUCCAAAGUUAGGUAUUUUUACAUUUGGACCGCCUAUUGGAGAUGCUCUAGUAGGAUGGCGAGACGUCACUUGUAUUGUAGGAGAACACCGAACCUCAAGCCUUCUACUUUCUUGUUUACUCCAAUAUCUCAUACACUAUUAAAUAUAGAUAAAUAUAUGCAUGCAUCAACUUCUUAAAUUUCAAUGCAUGACAGUAGAAAUGAGAACAGGUUCAAUGUGAAGAUGCACUUAGUAUUUAUACUUCUAGGAUUACAAUUACUGCUACAUGUCAUAUGAUUUAGAUGAACCUAACUAACUUCAUCAUGCAGAUCAGGACGGUUAUAUAUAGCUAGAAAAGUCAUACAAAUUAUAUGUUCAGACGAUUAGCCGACGGGCGCAUUCCAUGCUUGAUAGAUAUUUCCAAAUGGAAUUAACCACGUGUUAUUCUGUGGAAGAUAGUUAACAGACUCUUUGUAUGCAUUCGAAUUGUUGCGCCCACUCUCGUGUACAAAUGAACAUGGAGUUGAGCAGCAACUCAAAGACAGUGUCUUAGAUGGCAAAAUUGGCCGAAAAAGAAUCACUAUUGAUGCGUUUGGUUGCCUACAUAAGGCCCAUUCAGGACCGCAGUAAAAAUAAUCAGGCUAUUUUAUUAACCUGCAUACACUGUUUGACCUGCACGAUACCAACUUUAUAGCACUCCUAGCUAGGCCGGUGACCUACGCUCGGAACGUGAGUUUAUCCAGAGUCUGGCUCGUGCGAGGCAGAGGAGGAAAACGCGGUGCAAAGAUCGUGCGACCACGGAGAUGGCACGAGCUCCCGCGCAUUUUUGAAAAAUUGGCGGGAGAAUUUUGGCUCACCUCCCGUCGAUUCGGUCACCCUAUUUAGCCCCCAUCCUCUCACUGCCCAGAGCCCCGCCACCCUUCUCCCCCUUUCAAGCUUUCCCGCCGACGCGCGCCGGCACCAACGACCAAGUAAGCGUAGCUCCUUCACCGGCCCACGGUCUACGACCGUGGCAAUUCCUCUC